ACUAGCCCAGCCCAUAGCCUGCUCCUGGCUUCCUAAACCAGUGCUGCCUGCUUCUAGGGACCUUGAGAUGGCCGGUUACCUUCCAGGCUCUGAGAAGAAUGAUGGAACUAAGUCGCUUCCCAUCAGCUUAGGGGAGAAGAAUGGGAGUCUAAAGAAGGAAAGAAACAAGAGAAAGACAGGCGAUGCUUACUGUUUCCUAUGUACUCUAGGUAGUGCCUGGCUAGCUGCUUCAUAUGAUGAUCUAUUUAAAGUCCAGAAGACUCUGUGGAAUGCGUAUGGCAGGGAAGAAAAUCCCAUUUUACGGAUGCAAACAUUGACGCUCAAAAGGAUGAAGUGAUCUGCCUACAGCCACGUGUGUAGCAAGCAGACCAGUCUUUUGGAUUCCAAAACUCAACCCAGCAUGCUGAGACCAUUACAGGGUGGAUGCACACUGUCCCAGGACUCCCAGGCUCCUCUGGGCUCUGAGCUGCCUGGCAGGAAGUCCAGGGCAGCUUAUCUCCCUCUGCCCUCUAUCCACACUUCAGAAGCACUCAGUUUGAGCUGAUAAUCUCACCGGGUGCCUGUGAUGGCUCAGACACCACAGGAGCCCUCUGAGCGCCCAGCCACUGCAGAUUGGGUGGGUGUCUGCAGAUUGGAAUCCCCAUCCCCCUUGGGAAGGACUUCUGCACCAGGACCAUUAACUCCUGUACAGCAAUGGCCUUGAAGCCCUGGCUCCCAGCUGUCAGCACCAGUGAUCUCACUUAGGAGUUAAGCUCUGCCACUUCGCAGACACACAGAGGCUGCUGACCCUGGCCAGUGAUUUCAUACUUCAGAUUCCUGUAAACACGAAGGUCCUUUGUGCCGAGUUCUAUGGAAAGGCAAGGCCUUUUCCAGUCAACACCAGGCCCUCAAGUCCUUUUGGCCAUUAAAGGACUAAAAGAACUCUCCAAAUUCUGGUGGUCUUCGGUUCGACUCAGAAGUUUCUUCUCUUGGUGUACUCUCUGAGGCUGGCUGCUCAUUACGUCCCAUCAAGGCAGCCUGGGAUGAGCACUUUCUGCUAUAAAACAAAAAGUUUUCUGCAAUCCAGUCAGAUUUUGGAGUUGCUGUUCUCUCCUGCACUGAAGACAAUUUGAUAAAGGAGAAAUGGAUCCUACAAACUGGAGGCAGAUGUCUACUUCAUGGUGGAGAGAGAGGGAGAAUCAACAGGCAAUAACAAACGAUGAAACUCUAAAGGAAGGCUACAGUCUAGAAGAGACAGGGAGAUGAAAUUGGUUGUUUUUUCCUGAACCUCCUCUUUCCUCUGCUAACUUGUUUGGCUUUGGUCAAACUUCUUUUUUCCAGUAUGCUAGUCAAUUGCUCACAGCCUUGACCUCACCUCCCAAAUUGAGGGGAGCACAUCACAGUCCCGGGAUUGAGACUGAGGUCAGAGACCAUGAACUCUGAACUCUGGAGCCAGAUGGCUUGGGUCCAAAUGCUAGCUGUCAAACACUGGGUGAUUUGGGCAACAUACUACGUUCUGUGCUUGUAUCUAUCUAGAAAUGAUAACAAUAGUGAUAACUACCUCAUAAGACUAACUGUGAGGUUUCAAUGAGUAAUAAUUUACUCAGAAUGGGGCCUGGAGCAGAGUACAACCUCAAUAAAUGUCAACAUCUUGGUUCCCCUCUGAGGGCCUGGGCCAUGGUUGAAUCUCCUGACCUGCCAAAUACAUGAUCCAAUUCUGCAAGGAGUUGCUGAGCAAGUCUGGGAAAUUAGGAAUAGCAAAACUUUUGCAGUCCAGUAGGAACUAAAAUUAAUAUUUGUUUCUUAACAUGAAAAGAAUAGACUGCUCAUGUCAAAAGAAUAGACUUAAGUGUGCACCUCAGCCCCUCUGAGAGUCCCACAUAGACACACGUGCAUACCCACACAGACAUACAGCCACACAGCGCCAGCUGCAGGUGGCCCAGGCAGGUGGGCUGACAGUCCUUCAUACAUCUAUGCAAUUCUGAGCCGUCACUGGCCUGUCUUCCUGGACAGGAAUUCCUCUGGUCACCAUCUGUCAUCUAUGAUCCCAUUGCAUAUCCUGAGCUUUAAAUAUCAAAGUCCUAGAAGUGGGAGAGCGGGUACCUGGUACAAACCAGCAUGCUUAACCUCUACUCAUCCAUAAAUCACUUUUGUCUAUAUCUUCCUCUAAUGUGAAAUUCACAAACUCAAGAGCUAUUGAACUUCUUGCUAGUCUGGGUACACAAUCCUGUCAUAGCCCCCGUCUCCCAUCUAGGGCCAUAAUAAUAAGAACUUUAGAGUCAAUAACAGUAGAGUAAUAGACAAUAACAGUAACAGAGAAUAACAGUAAUAUCAAUUAUAAUAGAAUAUACUUUAAAAGCAUGUGCAGCAUGUUUGUGACUGUUCUGUACACUUUUUAUGCAUGUGGCAGUUGGGGUGGGGUGUCAACUUGAUUGGCCUUGGGAUCCAUCCCAGGGAUCGGAGGAGCACACUCUUGGGUGUGCCUAGGUGGGUCACAAAGUGUGGCCUUUGAGCCUAUGUCUGGUCCCUUGCCUCUUACUCUGUAGGAGGAUUCCCUCAUUCUGUUUUUCUGCCAUGAACCAAGUAGCUUUGUGAUACCAUGCCUGGCUACCACGCUAUUCCAUUUUCGAAGCUAACCAACAUGGACUGAAUCUCCCGAAUUCAAGCCAAACAAACCUCUCUGCCUUUCAAUUGUGACUGCAGGGCGUUUUGUCCCAGCAAAUACCCUAAAUAAUACGGAAAAGCUAACUAAUACAAAAAACUGGUAUCAGAGAAGUGGGACUAUCGCUGUGAUUGUAUCUGACCACGUGCUCUAGAAGACUUUGGAACUGGCUCACAGGAAUGUCAGGUCUGGCUCCUGGUCAGCAAACCAAAGGUGUCACAUGCAAGGGACUAACACUGCUGCUCUGCCAUCCAGGCAGCCUACCAGGAUCAUACAUUCAGCCCCAGUAAAAAAUUAGAGGGGCCAAACCCAGACUACUGCUAGGCAUGUAGAUAGUAUACUGCAUCGGGAGGCUUCAGCUGCUUUGGAGGUUGGACUAAAAGCCUUGAGUGCUGCAGUGUGACUGGAAAUGUGCCUACAUUUUGUCCAUGUCCUGAGACUUUCUGGGAGACUGAGAUUAAGGACAGUGUCUUGGUUAUCUUUCUCUCAUUUCUGGAAUAAAAUAUCUAACAUUCAAAAUUAAGGAUGACUCUUUUAAUGCUUUAAAAAUAAAACCAGAACUCUUUCUAAACAUGCAUUUUCACUAGUUUCUCUUCUGCUAUGUUGUUCCGUCUAGCAAAUAAUCCUAGUAUUGACUGCUUUCUCCUCCCUUUGGCCAGAUCAGCCUCUACCUGAAAUUUUAAGGUUAAUAGUGUCUAGGGCUUGCUGUUCUUCCUCGGGAGGCGUGAAAGGUAUUUCUUAGCUGGAGUCAGAGUUGGUUUGGCCCAUCCAGCAAAUGACAGAGGAUGGCUAGAAGUGGUGGGCUUGGGGCCGUUUCUUGGCCUUGGGGCCUUUUCUUGGCCUUGGGGGGACAGCCUGGUAACACUUGGAGAGUGUCCCUUGGGAAAGAAGGAGGGUACUCUACCUCUCUCUCGCUCUCUCGCUCCCUCUGUGUGUGUGUGUGUGUGUGUGUGUGUGAAGUUAAGAGCCUCCCCUUUUCUGGUUUCCCUGGUCAGUGACUUAUCUCACCAUUGAGACCCUUUCUGGCAUCUCUUUCACUCUUGGGACUGAGGUUCAGCGAUGCUUUACUCUGAGGUCCCUGCUCAAGCUAAAUGCAUUUCUGUUCCCUCACCAAUGUGGCUCAGAGACUGGAUCAGAAGGUGAAGAGCCAGAGUAAACCUCAAGACUCAGACUGCAUGUGGACGCGAGAUGAGCUGCUCAGCUUACUUUUGCUCUGGAGCAGGCUUUGCAGCUCAAUGUUACCUUCUGUGCGGCAGGCACAGCAUCUGCUCUACCCGAGGCGGGUGCUGGGAAGGCUGGUCCUGCAGGCCCCUCUCAGCUCCGAAUCUCCACCAUGAGACUGGGAGCCGGAGCUUCCUCACAGCUGAGAGGUGCUAGCUGGCUCACAUGCUGUUUUCCAAGGUGUGAACUGGGGAGGGCCAACUCCUUGGAAUAGCCCAUUCCUGAGGACUCCCCAGGGUGUCCCACCAUGCUGAGGCAAGACGUGAGUGGGGGGAACAAAGAGAGAUGGGAGAGAUGGAGGGAAAUCUGAGCAGAGUGGAAGUUAUAAAUGCAUUGGCUACCAACAUUUGUGAAGCAGAAGACAGCAGGCAACUUUGGGGAAUAAAAAUACUAGGACUUUCGUUUUCUCACCAGUUUGUGAGUCUUGUGUCUGUCUGUCUGUCCCUGAUCAGAUUACAAAAUGGGUCCUUGUAGUCCCAUCUUCCCAGGAGCAGGGAAAGUAAAUGUAAAGAUUACAGCUUCUGCCAACUAAACGAAGCUGAGACCAAUCUUUAGGACUCUCCAAAUCCUUAGAACCAGUAACAUCUGGGCCUCAUACCCUCAUUUUUUACAAACCUUCUUUCCUUUAUAGGGGCCAAAGGGGGUUAAAGGGAAGGCUUGAUAAAAAAUGCGUGUGUGCUUGUGCUUGUAUACAUGUGUGUGAGAAGGGACUUGCCCAGUGUGUAAGGUCUUGGGAGACAUUUUACCUGGCACACUGGGACCUUCCCAAGAAUCAACGCACUCCCUAGAGAAGAGGACUGAGGCACAAAUGUUAUUAAUAACCCCAGCAUCCCAGGACCCUUUUCCCUUAGCUGUUUCCAUCUGAGGUUCCACUGGGGUUUUGUUUUUGGUUCUCAUGAGUUAUUUUCUGCCCUCUGCCCUUCUGCAGUGUUCAGCUGGGGGAGCUGAGCGAGGGGUCUGACUGGUGGCACAUACAGUCCUGGGACAGAGAGAGAGAAUGCUGUGGGAGCAGGUGGGUCUCUCCACAAGCCUCCAUCUUGGGUUAUGGCAGGGCUCGGUGCUAGGGCCACAGAGGGCUGGUGUUGAUUGGAACAACCUAGUCAUCUUGGGAACAUUUAAGAGGAGGUCAGGGGGAGGAGCUUUGAGCAGUGGAGACUAGAGUCUAGCUCCAAGGGAAACAAUGAAUGUGUUUCCUCUGCACACAGGGAAGGUGCUCUCAGAAGCCGCAGGCCAGAUUAUCUCAAAUAGAUACACAUCCUGAGUUCUGACUAGUUUCUAAUGUCCUUCUCCCUGGAACCCAGCUUUGUAAUCUUGGCAAGAGAGUGUGUUAUAAUGCUUUGUUCAUAGUGUCACAACUAAACGCCCUAUCAAGUGUGGGUCAAUUUUAUUAAGAAAGAGAGAGCAUCCUAGGGCUUACCAGCUGGCAUUAUUUGAUGAGGCAGCUGUGACAUUCAUCAGGCCUGCCUCUUACCACUCCUCAGGGACAAUGGUAGAGAAAAUACAUCUAUCAUGUGCCUUCUUGCCUUGGAAGAAUGAGGAGUGAAUCUGGUCUCUAAGGGGUGCCAGGUCCAAGGUGUUAGGAAUGGGGGAUGACAUUUAGGGGAAAAGUCAACCAUACACUUAGAAUUCGGGAGUGAGCAAUGCACUAUGAAUUGCCACUUGGCAUUGUGAAAGUGGAGGAAAUCUUUGGGAAGUUAAAUAUUGGAUUAAACCGAGGGAUAGAUCAUACUUGAGGGGUGAAUGGUGGGAUGGGGAUUAUGCUUAAUUCAAUUUUGUAUCUUUUGAGUUAGCCCAUUGCCAAGCAUGUGGUCAAUAAAUAACACUGAAAGAAAAAAAGAAGAAAGGAUGGAAAGAAGGAAGAAAAGAAGACAAAAGCUAUUAGAUUAGGGAGGAAACCAACAUUAGCAAGUACCUAUUCUGAGUCAUGACCUUUAGACAUGUCACCAUACUAAAGUGUCCUUAUAACUCUGUUCGUGGGGAUGAUUAUCUUCAUGCUAUAGACAAAGGUGCAACAGCCUAGAGACAGGAACCAGAACAGCACAGGUAGUGGGGAGAUACAAGAUUUGAUCUUAGCCUAUUGGACUCUUGUUCUUCAUCUUAUUCCCUACAGAAAAAAAUAAAUGAAAUAUAAUUUACCAGUCACUGGGGGAACCAGUUGUAAUCCAGUUUGCUUGACCUCAGAAUUUCUUUACAAAAACUGGGUAAAACUAAAUAUUUUGGAUCCGAUGGGGCAGGGAACGGCAUUUAAGAGCGUGUAUCAUUUAGUCUUGCUUUAUGGAAUCUUUAAUUGAAUUCUAAACUCAAAAUAUUUAUUUAGUGCCUAUCCUUCGGUGAAGAAAGUCAGAGAAUGGCAUUUCAGGCACUGAAGUCAUGUGGGAAAAUGUUGGGAGGCCUAAAAUGCUUGAGCUGUGUAUCACGCAUUUAAAAAUCAUGCUUGGCAGGGAGAGGCAGGAAACUCUAACCCAGCAGCUUUAAUAAGUAAGGAGUUCAUCUCUCUCACAAUAUGUGAAGGCUGGUGGGACACACACUUCCUUUAAUAAGGAAGUUGGGGAUCCUGGUCUGUGCAUCUUCUUUCUUCAACAUCGUUAGAUCAAGGCAUGUGUUCUCUUCAUCACAGAACUCCAAACUCUGUGUCAGAGUUCCAGGAAGAGAGAAGGAGGGAAUGAUAGACCAUGUUUUUCUCAUCUAUUUUGAUAGAAAACCUUUCUCUGGGACUUCUGCCUAGUCUGAACCAGCUAUAAUGGUACCUCCUAUAAUGGUACCUGCAAAAGAGGACAGGAAUUUGAGUGUUUCUCUUUUGACUCUAUGGAGUAGAGGAAAACAAGACAAAAAUGGGCUGGAGAGGAUGCUGAUCAAGACCAUAUUAAUGUUUUUGGUUGGAUCAUUGAACACAACUAUUUGCAGUCUCACUGUUUGAGUGUCCACUUUGUAUGCUUUGAUACUGUGACUUGAGCAACUAUCUCUAGGAUGAUAAUAUGUAAUCUAUUAACUGGUGAUUUCUUACUGUUUUUUUUUUUGUAGUUCUGUAUUACUUGUACCCUUACACUGCUCUGUUUUGUUUUUUCUCUUUUUCCUUUUAAAUAAAAUUAAAAAAAAAAAAAGAUGAAAUACGGAAUUGGUCACAGAGUUUAGGAAAGGCUCCUCUUAAUGUGUGAGGAAAUGUGUUGGAGAUGCAGCUGCACGACGGACACUGAAUUAUGAUGACAUUUUUGUCUCCAGAGAUGGCUUAAAUGGAGGCUAAGAGGCCAGGCCCUGGUGGUUCCACUGUCAAGCUUGACACUGUAACCUUGUGCCUUAGUUACUUCCUCAUUGCUGAGACAAAAUACCUAACACACAAUUUACAGGAGGAAAGGGUUAUUUCCCCUCAUAGUUUGUAGAGGUUCCGGUCCAUGGCUGGCUUUAAGACAGGGUGGCAUGGCCGAGGGGCAUCACAGAGGAGAAACAGUCCAUGCCCUGGGAGACAGAAGGCAGCAAACAGCAAGCAGUAGACGCCUGCCUUCCAUCUCUUCCCUUCAUUCCAUCCUGGCUCCAAACCUUGCAUUGGUGAGACUUCACCUUAUCCACACCCUUAAUCCAUGUUCACACAGCUUAGGUCCGUGGGGGCAAACCUACAGCGCACAUGUUAUUUGUUUUACUCUGAAGACAAAAGAUAAUGUGAGUUGAUUUUUCCUAAACUAAAAGUUCAGUAUUCAGGUUUCAUUGUAGUGUUGGCACUUUGGUAUAAAUAAUUGGGUUUUGAGUUGUAGUUUGGGCACUGAUCUCUAAAAGGCUCCCUAAUACUGCUCUAGAUCCAGUCACCUCCAAAAAACCUCACCUAGGAACGCAUGAGGCUUUGGGGGGACAUUUAGAUACAAGCCAUAACACCCUGGGUUUGCUUGGUGAUAAACAGGUUAUCCUUAUAUAUUUCUCUCCAGAGGGGUCUACGCUUAAUUUUUAGGAAAAUCUCAUGGGUUAGUUUGUUUCUUCUAUCUUUCUACCCCCCAGCCCAUCCAUCCAUCCAUCCAUCCAUCCAUCCAUGCGUGCAUCCAUCCACUCAUUAAGCAUCUAUUUUGUAUAUUCUAGAUAUA